UACGAGGGGGGCAAGUGUUGUUCGGAAUUACUGGGCGUAAAGGGAGCGUAGGCGGGCUCUUAAGUUGGAUGUUUAAAACCGAGGCCUAACCCCGGCGUGGCAUCCAAAACUGGGAGUCUUGAAUGGGACAGAGGCCAGUGGAAUUAGAGGUGUAGCGGUGGAAUGCGUAGAUAUCUCUAAGAACACCAGUUGCGAAGGCGGCUGGCUGGGUCCACAUUGACGCUGAGGCUCGAAAGCGUGGGGAGCAAACAGG
rnacentral:rRNA from 1 species